rnacentral:misc_RNA from 1 species
GGUUUUUGAAGGCCCCAUUACUCGUUACCCCAUUAUACAUAGGUAAAUUCUGAGUUGCAGAUGUGACAGCCAUUACCGCCGUUAUGUAAUGGUAACUGCCGUUAUUUACCGUUAAGUAAUGGUAACGGCCGUUACCUCAAUUAUGCAUGCGCCAAAAAUCACAUACACGUGCCUUUUUAAAUUUUUUUCCUUUUCAUUGUCCAGUUGCUCUAGUCUUUCAUUGUUGUUGUUUCUUUCAUGUUCUCUCAAAAGUUGACCCAAAAAUUUCUCCUUCUUCAGAUCUCUUCCUUAUUAUUUUCUAAAAUCAUCAUUAAAUACCUCUAUUCUCCAAAUCUACUUCUUGCAAAAGGUGAGUUA